rnacentral:misc_RNA from 1 species
AAGUCGUAACAAGGUAGCCGUAUCGGAAGGUGCGGCUGGAUCACCUCCUUUCUAAGGAGACAUGGUUUCUCGCUAGAGAAAUCAUAUCCUAAGGUCGAUGCUUUGAAGGACGUCAUGGAAGCAAUGAAGUGAAACGAUUCAAAGUUGGAGAAGUCUAAGAGACUUCUAAAAGCCGAAGAGGCAAAACGGAGUAAUCCGUAAAGUAUGAGAAAUGAAGCUGUUGAAGUUAAAAGCUAACUUGUUGUUUAGUUUUGAGGGACCAUAAAGUCUUCUAUAUGGGGGUAUAGCUCAGCUGGGAGAGCGCUUGAAUGGCAUUCAAGAGGCCAGCGGUUCGAUCCCGCUUACCUCCACCAUAAUAUAUCUGGUUUCUCUAAUGUUUAUUAUGUUCUUUGAAAACUGCACAGAGAAGAAAAAACUGUAAUUAGGAUAACAUCUAAAACCUAGAAGUGGCGGCAAAAAACGUUUGGUCAAGCUACUAAGGGCGUACGGUGGAUGCCUAGGCGCUAAGAGUCGAAGAAGGACGCGGCGAGCGGCGAAACGCCACGGGGAGCAGUAAGCAUGCCUUGAUCCGUGGAUAUCCGAAUGGGGAAACCCA